UUUCCGUAGGUGAACCUGCGGAAGGAUCAUUGUCGUACCCUGGAAACAGAACGACCCGAGAACGAUGAAACACCACUCUCGGUGGGCCGGUCUCUUAGCCGAUUCCGUGCCUGCCGAUUUCCGUGGUUAUGUGUUCCGUCCCCGGUUCAAGACUUACUUAGGUCUCGGUCGGAUCGUGCGCAUAGCUUCCGGAUUUCACCAAACCCCGGCACGAAAAGUGUCAAGGAACAUGCAACUAAACAGUCUGCUUUCGCCAACCCGGAGACGGUGUUUGUUCGGAAGUAGUGCUGCAAUGUAAAGUCUAAAACGACUCUCGGCAACGGAUAUCUCGGCUCUC
rnacentral:misc_RNA from 1 species